CGCCGAAACAAUCAAGAAAAGCCCGACCUUGCGGAGAAACCCGCCCGAUCUUUUCUCCUCGCUUGAAUUCUCCGGAGCUCCCAAGAAUCCGGCCGCGUCGAGACCGGACGAGGACGAUGGCCUGCAAACCCAUCGCCAACAGGCUCGGGAAGGAGGCGGGCCUCCACCCCGAGGUUCCGCCGCUUCAUCGUUACCCUCGAUCAGGUAAAAAGCUGAGCUUCCCCGUGUUACCGUCGGAAAAGUAUUGCUGGUGUAGGAGAUGAGCAUGCAGGUCUUCCCGACUGCCCCGUCGCCAACCGUCACGCAUUUGAUGAACCUUGCCGUGCUCAUCGUUGUAAUGGCACUGGCUUUAACCACCAUUGGGCCAACAAAGUAGGAAGGACAGAGAGGAAGAGCGAUGAAAGGUGGGGAUUUCUGCUGCUAAGUGUUUGAAUUUUGAAUGGGGGCCGGGGAACGUAGGGCGGACUAGGAAGUGGAGGUAGGAGAGGCCCCCUCGUCUUUAAUGAGGUGGGGAGCAGCGCCACCACCGCCAGGGGUGCACAGCUCAUGCAUGCUUCACGAAGGCUGAGCAAUGAUGGCCUGCUCCACACACCCGAUGGUGCUCUUUUGGUUUGCCUUGCUUUGGGUGCAAGAAGGAGCGCUAGGAUCAGCCGAUCUCCUUGGGCGUGAGUGUUGGUUGGUUGGUUAAGUGCGGGAGAAGGAUGGUGAUGAUGGGAUCAAGGGAGAUGGGUGGCCUCCUUUGGCUUGCUUAGUAGAAUUAAUUUUCCACCAAGUGAUCAUGAUUGCGUGGUCAUCUAAUCUUGGUGAGACCACUAAGUCCCUUUGGAAACUUGGGAAAGAAAAAAGGGGUGAAGCAACUCUUGGUGGGCUUAGGUAUAUCAAUUGCUUUUUUUAUGUGCAAAAAGUCUUCUGGACUUUUUAUUGCUCGUAUGAGAAAUCCGAGUGGAAGUAUUGAGUACAUACCAUUCAUUUGCAACUAAAACUUCAUUAUAAUUGCAAGUACGAGUGAGUAUACAAAAAAAAAAAUUACGAAGUCGAAAUAUGGUUAAAUUUAAUAUCCCAGAGCAUUAUAGUCAUAUAUAAUGUGUGAUUUUAUUAAGUUUUAUUAUGAUUUUCGAUGAUAGGCAUGUAGGAAUCCUUGCCUUGCUCGUGGGUUGGGCUUUACAAUGGUUAUUGGAGGCAACCAGGUGAAAAGGCCCAGCCUCUCGACGAACAUGUGAACGGGUCGGAUCGUAGCCAUCACGGCCCGAUGCGGUAAUGGGACGCCUCACCAAUUCGUCGUAGAUAAAUAGAGGGUAGGAUACUUGUUUUGUCCCUAUAAGAAUCCCCUUAUUCCUAAGAGAACGCGCGGUCGAUUCAUCUCCGGCCGCCGAGAGGCCUCCGACGUCUCGGAGAUCGAGAAGCGCUACGAUCUUGGAGGGGCCUCAAGGACAAGACGCAGGUUUCUUCUCCUCCUCCUCCUCCUUUCUCUCGCCAUCCUCUUCUUUUUUCUAGAGUUUCGAGUCGGUUUCUUUUGUUUUUCCGGUUGGUUUUCGAGGAAUGGCAGGCAGCAUGCGGUAAGCCUACGAAGGUGCAAACGGAGAACAACUCACGCCGCGGUUUUUGAAAUUAUUGUCGACCCUUGCCAGCAAGUCCACGACCGCCUGGUUCGAUUUCAUCGAAGAAGACGAGGCUGGAGUCGGUCCCUCGCCCUUUUUCGUUUUGUUUCUGCUUCUCUUGCUUCUUCUUGGCAAUGGAAUCUGCUCACCCCAUCGUCGUUAGGGAUUGAAAGGUAUGAGACAGUGGUUCCUACAUCAUGUGAUUAGUGAUAAUUUUGCUUCCUUAUGUGCCCAAAGAAGUCACUGGAAAACCUUUUUCCCGACCUUCUCCUCCCCUCUUUUUUUUUUUUUUGUUUCCUAGUCAGAAGGUUUUGAGGGUUUAUUCUCUUUGGUAUUUGUUAAAUAUAAAAGUAGAGGGUGUUGUUGGUACGGCAUUUCUAUGCAUGCAAAGAAACAUUGUGAGAUUAAUAUAUAAGUGUUGUCCAUUUUUUUCUA